CCAUAUCCGAUCAGCUAGUUGGUGAGGUAAUGGCUCACCAAGCCUAUGACGCGUAACUGGUCUGAGAGGAUGAUCAGUCACACUGGAACUGAGACACGGUCCAGACUCCUACGGGAGGCAGCAGUGAGGAAUCUUGCACAAUGGGCGAAACCCUGAUGCAGCAACGCCGCGUGGAGGAUGAAGGUCUUCGGGUUGUAAACUCCUUUUCUAAGUGAAGAAUAUGACGGUAACUUAUGA
rnacentral:rRNA from 1 species